rnacentral:rRNA from 1 species
UACGGAGGGGGCUAGCGUUGUUCGGAAUACUGGGCGUAAAGCGUGCGCAGGCGGUUUUGUAAGUCAGAUGUGAAAUCCCCGGGCUUAACCUGGGACUGCGUUUGAAACUACAAGGCUAGAGUGUGGCAGAGGGGGGUGGGAAUUCCACGUGUAGCAGUGAAAAUUCGUAGAUAUUCGGAGGAACACCAGUGGCGAAGGCGGCUUCUCGUGUCCUUGUUCGUACGCUG